AUUCUUAUGGUUUUCAUUGAAAUGUGCCUGUGGAAGAAUCACCAGCAGAGUAUCAUAGAGAAAUAUGACCCUCCAGGAUACCUCUAACAAGGAUCAGAUAGUAAUGGGCAGAUGAUGUAAUGCACCACUCUCUCAGGAGCAAAUGAGAUAAAUGGAAAUGUUCAUGGAGGCUUACUGAGCAAUGGAGGUUUCAGCAGUGGCUGUUCCCACCUUCACCAUAAGGAUCCCUCCUCCUGCUCCUGGCAUGCUCCUGGCAGCCAUGAGCCCGCCCGGUUGCAUGCCCACUCGCCUCUGCCUGGAGGAGUGCUGCCGCGGGGGCGCGCCCCAGGUCCCCUACCCUGAGCCCUGAUGCCCAGCUCCAGCGUCAAGAUGCCAGAAGAACAAGAACCCAGCGCCGGCCUGACCUACCCAGCGCCUGCGCCCCGGCCUGCAAGACACCACGCCCUCCUCUGCUCUGCGUGGUGCGUGGAGGGGCCCCUUCGGAUCGAUCGCAGCCGCUGCCACCAUAGCCGCCACCAUAGUCGCUGAGGCAGGCGUCAGUGGGAAGGACCUGAGAGUGGCUUUCCCAGCCGGCUGCCACACAGGACCUCUGGAUGCUUAGCCCGCCCGGCCGAGAGCUCUAAAGUCAAGGCAUGACUUAACAGCUUAUCUUGGAGGAGAACAGCUCAACUCAAAGGCAGAUUGCCAGUUCGGAGUUUAUUACAAGCAGAACUGCUAUGAUGUGCUUUUAGCACUGAAGUGAACUCCAUUGUAAGUACAGAAAGUGGCAUCUCUGCUUUCCCCCAGAAGCACAAUCGUAUACACCUUGCAGACGAAUCACUGAAGAUGUAAGCCAACUGUUACUCUGAGUUUCGGAGACCCCCUGUGGACAGCAUGAAGCCUGUCCCUGAUCAAAGUCUUAGUAAGCAGGAAGGAGUCAAGGUUAAGGAAUGCGUCUGAUUACCCUGAACUGUAGUACCUUGGAAAGUGAACCAAGGCUUGAGUUUUGUUCUGGAAGCCUGCCUUGCCUGCUUCUGUAAUCUGGCGCUCUGCAUGUGAAUCUUGGAUCUAUAUGGACACUGCUAUAUGUUACUGUCAUGAUUCUCUGCUCUUCCAUGAGCUCAGACUUGGCACCUUAUUUUACUUCUGAGCCACCUCUACCGUCCAGAAAGGUGGUGGACCUGUAGAACUACAUUGUUCUGCCAAACCUGUGACCACUCAUAGCUCAUGGUUGCAUAAUGGAAAAAAGGAUAGAAAUAUGGAACAUACAAAGCUUCAUCAGGGGACUUUGACAAUGCUUUCUCUGAACUUCUCUCUUUUGGGUUUCUACCAAUCCAUUGCCAACAAUAGCGUUGGUAUUAUUUUGAGUGGCCCUGUAACAGUAUCCGUGGCAGUUUUUGGUGAUUUUGGUUCAUCCACAAAGUAUGUUAUUACAGAGGAGGAAAAAGUGCUGUCAGGAUAAUAGAAACGAUGUCAGCUGUGAUCGUGCAGAAAAUCCAGAAGAGUUCAGCAGAGGAGACAGCUGUGUCUAUUCAGAAACAGACAGCAACAUUUUACGUUGGAAUCCUCUUAUUCUGCCACCUAUCUCAGAGGACUGUGCUGAAGAGACAACAUGGCCUCCGCCUGGUGUUCCUUUGCACAGCCCCUCAGGGGUCCUCCAGCAGCUCCAGGAAACUGGAGGAUGUGCAAACAACCAGUCAUGUUCCAACUUCAAUCCUGUAACUAACUGCACAAAACAGGCCUGGGAGUGAACUGUUUGAAGGACCUUAAUUCAAAUCAGAGAAAAUGACUAUUUUUUUUUUUUUUGUAGCAUAAUGUCAUGUCAAUGUGUCUUAAAGUGUGAGCCCUUUUAUAUUAUUUAUGCCUUAAAAGUUUUCUUACCCAUUCCUUCCUUCCUUUCAGGAAGAAACAACCUUGUUUUGCAUAGCUUUCAAUCACCUGGAGGGCAGAGGGAUCAUUCCAUGUUUUCUAACAACCAUAGUGGCAGUAAGAACUCCUCAUGCAAACGAUUCCGUCUCUUGGAUGCUUCUGCUCAGAGGAAAUGCAGAGGCCAAUUGAAGGUUGCCACCAGUGAGGUUUUCAGGUGGAAAACUGUCUUUUAAUAGUGUAUUAUCAAACUUUCUGAGAACACUUUGAGGUCAACCACAGUUUUGACCCAGUGUUUAUAAUAGCAGACCUGGCCGUUGAAUUUUUUAAGAGUGCCUUCCACCAAAGUGGUAACGUGACCAGACGACUUUCUCUCUAUCUGCACGUAGGCACAAGUGAUGUUCAGUCUUCUAGGCGCUAGUCAUAAGUGGUGUCGUGGACAUGGUAGAGUGUGAGAUGUAGUUGAAUGAUUGCAGUAUGCAGAAAAGGAACCAAGACCAGAGAGACAAAUAAUGCCUUACUAUCCCUCUGCUUUAAAAUUCAUUGAUUGAUAAAAUGGCUGGUAUGGGGCUCUUUUUGACUGCUUCUAAGAGUAGGAACAAAAUAAGACUUUAAGUCGUGGCUUGAAAAGAAAGAUACACAUUUUCAGAAGAAAGAAAGGGGAGGGCUGCAGGGAACCUGUCUUGGAGGGAGCUCUUCAGUCAGCUCCAUUAGCCUAGGAGCGUGCUCAUGGUGUCACACUGCCAGUAACUAGUCACUCUCUCACUUCCAACAGGGGCAACAGCCUGAAGGUGUGAGUGUCAGAAAAUACUUACUUUGGAAGAAAGGUGUGUUUUUUGUUGUUGUUGUUGUUUUUUUUUACCCUGAAGUUUCCUGACUUUUUUUUUCCAGAAUGUCUUCCUUGUAAACAGGCACCUAAAGCAUCGGUCAGCAGAGUUCCUGAUGACUGCUACCUCUGUGUGACAAGGACAUUUGCAGCUGUCUUUGGAAGGCUAUUCUCCACAUUAAUAAAUGAUAAUAAUGAUGAUAAUAUAUUUUUUAAAAACUACCUAUUGGGUACUAUGCUGACUACCAAGGUGACAGGAUCUGUAUUCCAAUGACAGCAGUAAUGCAAACAUACAAUUCUGUAGCCACUUAUAUUUUAAUAGCAUUAUACUCUUUUAACCAUCCUCAUCUUGUAUAUAAUCUCAUUGUAUGUUAGAAUACAGCUAUUAGAGCAAUAAGGAAGAAUGGAUAAAUAAUCAGGUUUUUGUUUUUGUUUUGUUUUGUUUUGUUUUUCUUUGAGACAGGCUCUCACUCUGUCACCCAGGUUGGAGUGCAGUGGUGAGAUCACAGCUCACUGCAGAGUCGAUCUCCCCAGAUCAAGCAGUCCUCCAACCUCAGCCUCGCAAAUAGCUGGACUACAGGCUGAAUUGUCAUGCCUGAGUAAUUUUGUUGUUGCUGUUGUUGGAGAGACAGGGUCUCACCCUGUUGCCCAGGCUUCUCUCCAACUCCUGGCUCAAGUGAUCCUCCCACCUCAGCCUCUAAAAGUGCUGGGACUAUAUAUAUAUAUAAUAUACAUGUAUAUAUGUAUAUUUUCUGUAUCUAUAAUAAUAGUCCUUGGAAAAUUAGCUUACUGCUUGAAAAAAUAUAUAUGAAUGACCGCUUUGAAAUAUAUGUAUUUUAUAUAUAUACAUAUCUAUAUACACACACACAUAUAUAUGCAUAUAUAUGCAACCUUCCAGUGACAGUAGGUACGCUUUUGGCUUCUGAGAUGAACAUAUUCAUGAUGAUAAAUAUUUACUAUGAAUUCAGCUAAACAUGAAACUCAGCAAUAUUCAUGUCUAUUUUUCUCUAUUUCUACCUAAAUCUGUAUUUGAAAAGUUGUGCCUAAGCCUUCCUAGUUAGUUAGAUUUUUAUCCUUUACCAUUCAAUGCGUGUGUGGCUUGGAGACUGUUUUCACAGAUCAGGAAGUUGACAAUUAUGUCCCACAUUCAGUGGACUAACAACUCAGAGAUCCUCUCUGUCAUUAAACUUGUAGAUCAGAGUUACUCCUUAUAGAUGGAGUCAGCCUUUUUUAGACUUUGUCCUCAGCAAUCCUCAUUAAAGGAGGCAUUAUUUUCUUGCUUUAAAUAAAUUCAAAAAACACAUAUCAGAAACUUUUGAUAUGUUUGUUGUGUGCCAUAUUGUCAGUAAUUAAAUUAAAUACUAGAAAAUACACCAUUAAAUAUGAUAUUUGAUAUACAGUUGGCCCUCCAUAUGAUAGGGUUCUGCAUCCAUGGAUUCAACUCAUCAUGGAUUUAAAAAUUUCAGGAAAAGAAUUGAAUGAUUACGUUUUCACUGAACAUGUGCAGACUUUUUUUUGCUUGUCAUUAUUCCCUAAGUCAUAUAGUGUAACAACUACUUACAUAGCAUUUACACUGCAUUAAGUAUUUUAAGUAAUCUAGAGAUAAUUAAAGUACAUUGGAGGAUGUGCUUAGGCUACAUGCAAAUACUUCACCAUCUUAUGUAAGGACAUCUGAGGAUUAUUAGCAUCCAAGAUUUUGGUAUCUGUGGGGAGUCCUGGAAUCAAUUUCCAGUCGAUACUUAAGGAAAGGCUUCAUACCAAGUUAACAUGACCAAAAUAUACAUAUUUCUGAUAAUAAGGAUAUUUUACUGCACAUGUGUCUUAAAAAUUUCAAAGACCUUAAUAAAUUUGGAAUUUUAUUAAAGUGUAA